rnacentral:lncRNA from 1 species
AUGACGUCACUGAAGUCAUUUGUUGAGAGACCUCAUCCGGUUUUACGCAGGAGCUUUAGCCACAGUGUGGUAGGCGAGAGAAGUGCCUGCUGUCAGGAGGCUGCAGCAGGAAAUCUGCCACUGGAUGAGCUGCCAUGGGCUGCGGACAGGUUGUUGGGCCUUUGCCAGUCCAAGAACAUAAAAACUAUUCCUGUUUGUGCAUCUGGUGUUACUUGCUGCAAGGGGUUGGCACUAGAUCCAAAUAUAGUGCUACAAUUUUAAUUAUUUUUUUUUCUUGUGCUUCCUGCCUGUUGUGGAAAAAGAAUCUGUGACCACUUUCUUUAACUUCUCCCUUCCUAUAGAAAUGCAGUGAGCAAAGUGAUUUACACUUAAAGGGCAAGCAAUUGUUCAUUUGGCUAUAUUGUAAUUUUUUUUUUAUAGUGAAGAGGAUGGUAAAAAUGUAUGUUCAUAUCAAUUUAAAACCCAAGUUUUUUGCAAACUGCACUGUUAAAUUCUGUAUUGAAUAUGUUGUAAUCCCCUAAAAGCCUCUUCCUUUCUGGCAAGCUCAAAAACAUUGCAUCUGUGGUUUCUAUCUUAAUUCCAGUUGGUUCAGAAUGGAGCAAUAUAUGUGUUAGGAAUUACAGUUUGUGACUGCAGUUUUGAAUUUCUUUUUCUUACAAAUGGAGCAUCCCAUAUCUGUGAAUGUUGCAUAAGAAAAGUUGUUUGCCUUGUUUUGUCCACCCCAAAAUGUGUUCUAGAAACCAGGCUGUGUUUCCCUCUCCACCACCUGUUGUAUCCCCUUCCUGUCUCUCUGUGUCUGUGUGAUUUCAUUUGAGUCCCAAAGGCUUAAGGAAUGUCCUAUUUUGUUUAACAUUAGCUUUGUUUACAUUAGUUUGACAGGUGAUGAAUUUCGAAUUGCUUCUGCAACCUGAAAAUCGUUUUUCUUUUGACAUAUGACACAUCUCUUCACUUUCAGAUGCUUUUGGCCUUUUAGGGUUGCACAGCAAUAUUUAAAAUCAUUGCAUUAUCUAAUGCUUGCAAGUAACAACAACAAAAAAAUUGACAUGUAAUAAAUUUGGAUAAAUUCUAUGUCA